rnacentral:rRNA from 1 species
UGAUCAGCCACACUGGAACUGAGACACGGUCCAGACUCCUACGGGAGGCAGCAGUGGGGAAUAUUGGACAAUGGGCGAAAGCCUGAUCCAGCAAUGCCGCGUGGGUGAAGACGGCCUGCGGGUUGUAAAGCCCUUUAGGCGGGGAGGAACGACGGGACGUGAAUAGCGUUUCGGAGUGACGUUACCCGCGGAAUAAGCACCGGCUAACUCCGUGCCAGCAGCCGCGGUAAUACGGAGGGUGCGAGCGUUAAUCGGAAUUACUGGGCGUAAAGCGUGCGUAGGCGGAUGGGUCAGUCAGCCGUGAAAGCCCCGGGCUUAACCUGGGAACGGCGGUUGAGACGGCCCGUCUUGAGUGGGCUAGAGGAUCGUGGAACUCCCGGUGUAGCGGUGAAAUGCGUAGAUAUUAGGAAGAACACCAGUGGCGAAGGCGGCUCACUGGUCCGGUACUGACGCUGAGGUGCGAAAGCGUGGGGAGCAAACAGGAUUAGAUACCCUGGUAGUCCACGCCGUAAACUAUGGAUGCUAGCCGUCGGCAAGCUUGCUUGUCGGUGGCGCAGCUAACGCAUUAAGCAUCCCGCCUGGGGAGUACGGCCGCAAGGUUAAAACUCAAGGAAUUGACGGGACCCGCACAGCGGUGGAUGAUGUGGUUUAAUUCGAUGCAACGCGAAAACCUUACCUACAC